GAUGGCGCGGCCGGCGAUGGAGCAGUUCGCGGGCUUCCACUCCUCUACUAUUUUGGUGCCUCCCCCUUGUGCUGUCUCCAACCGGUGGCUUCGUGGCCCUACGUCGCUGAGAUCCUCAUUGUGGUGCUCCUACUUCGACUGUAACGAUCCGGCCACUCGUGUCGAGACCAGAUCUUGAUCGGGUGAGACUGAGGGGAAUCAUUCGUAAGUGGUGGCGCUGGAGCCACCUCCCUCCGCCGCCAGCAGAUCAUCUCCAACAUGGAACGCAGAGAAUGCAAGAGGCUGACCUUCUAGCGCUACUUAUGGACCAGAUUUUUAACUAAAUCCCAAUCUACCACAUUGACAAGAAGUAAGUUAUAUGCUCCACGUCUUCUGAAACAUAUAUGGGCCUGAUGUUUUAUGCCCUGAUGCAUGCAGCAUGUGCUGCCUAUGAAAGCGUUUACUGUAAAUAUGAUCUACAUGUUGAUCAUUCUACUUGGCAUUUGAUGUCAUUGAAUUGGACAUGUGAUCUCUAUAUAGAUGCAGUUGAACCAGGAAUGUUUGUCAUUUUAAAAUAUAUUUUGCGUGCCUGCAGUAGUGACAGACAUAUCACAUAAAAGAUGUAUUUCCUAGUCUAGUGCUUCAAUAUUAUGGUCUGCAAUAUUUUGCCGUCAGGUUGUACUGAUUUCAUUUUAGGUUUAUAAAAUAAACUAUGGAAUUAGCUAAUUGAAUUGUUGAUGUAUGUGCCUUGUUGGGAUUGUACUAGAUUUGUAGCUUGAAAUUGCAUCUUACUUUCAGCUUCACUUCAUUUCUUUCUUUCCUGAUACCUUUCGUCCAAGGUGGAUGACAUGGUUACCUCUAUUUCCGUCAAUACCUCUUUUCUAGAAACCGA